UGCGAGCCGUAGGGAUCGAACCUACGCGGGCAUGCCCAUUGCGGAUCAAGUAUUCGAGACACUCCCAGAGGAAGCGCAACAACCUAAACACAACGCCUUAACCACUCGGCCAGACUCGC